rnacentral:rRNA from 1 species
GACGAACGCUGGCGGCGUGCCUAAUACAUGCAAGUCGAACGCACUGACGUCGACAGAAGGUGCUUGCACUGGAAGUUGAUUGACGUGAGUGGCGGACGGGUGAGUAACACGUGAGUAACCUGCCCUUAAGCGGGGGAUAACAUUUGGAAGCAGAUGCUAAUACCGCAUAAAAGUUGAGAUCACAUGGUCUUAAUUUGAAAGACGGCCUUUGGCUGUCACUUAAGGAUGGACCCGCGGCGUAUUAGCUAGUUGGUGGGAUAAUCGCCGACCAACGCGAUGAUACGUAGACGACCUGAGAGUGGAAUCGGCCACAUUGGGACUGAGACACGGCCCAAACGCCUACGGGAGGCAGCAGUAGGGAAUCUUCCACAAUGGACGAAAGUCUGAUGGAGCAACGCCGCGUGAGUGAAGAAGGUUUUCGGAUCGUAAAACUCUGUUGUUGGAGAAGAACAGGGACUAGAGUAACUGUUAGUCCUUUGACGGUAUCCAACCAGAAAGCCACGGCUAACUACGUGCCAGCCGCCGCGGUAA